CCGCAAGCCUUCCAGCGUGAGGGGGUCUGGAGUGGCCCCCCCAUUCCUACAAUGCUUGCUAGAGCAACCCCGGGAGGGUUUGAGGCCUCUCUCCGCUCCAACCGGGGAGGGGUUAUAGAAAUCCCGGACAGGC
rfam:Picoides pubescens contig91279, whole genome shotgun sequence.